UCUGCAUCUUGUGGUGAGUUGUUCUUGGACUGGGGCACAGCUGCACAUACCAGGGGGUUGUGUUCUGCUAGAGGGACCUGCCCAGGAUCUCUGCUUUCAUAGGGAAGGGUGGCUUUGCCCAGAAGAAUAAGUACCUUGGGCUCGAUUGCCUGGCACCCUUCCACUAAGUGUCAGAUAUUCAGAGGCCAUGUGCCUGUCCCGGCUUAAUCAGUUGGCAGAGGCCCUCUGUCUGGCACCUGGAGACCCUCGUCGUGCCUUUUCCCAUGGGAAGUUGAAUUCAGGCACAACCCCUUUCUCUGGCAGUUGUGUGUGUGGAGGGGCUGGCCUGGCAGGGCUGAGUCCUUGAACCUCACUACCUAUUGCCAGAAAAUAGAAGCAUGGAAAAGUACUCAUAGUCACCCAUUGGGCAGGCCUGCACUUCUGCACAGCUGAAAAUGGUAGAAAUGGGAUGUUAGGUCUCUCUAAUUCUAGAACCAGUUCUCUCAGCUACAUAUUCUUCUCCUCCUUCCCAUGGGAAGAGGCACAGCCAGCAUCUCUGGGUGCCAGACAGAGGGCCUUUCUCAACUGAUUGAGCCAGGGUGGGCACCUGACCUUGGAACAUCUGGCAUCUGGUGCAGGACGCCUUUGUUUUUCUGGUCCAGUGCCCAUCCCAUAGCAUCUGAGCUUAGAUAUUAGGUCCUUUUCUCCCAGGUCUAUAUGUCAGCAAAAGAGAGCCUGAGUGGUCUAGUGUGGGUCAGGUGCUCAUGCUGAUGCAAUCAGAUGAGUCAGGGGAUGGGAUCAUGUUGUCACCAUGACUACUGGGCGUGACAGGUGGUGACCCUAUCAUCACCUAUGGUGGACUGAGACAGGGAUCGCUUUGGAAGGCAGUCCCCACUUGGACUGAGGUAGGGUAGCAGGCAGGCAGGGGCAAGAUCAGGGGCAGGCCAGGAAUUGGGACAAUCAGGAUGUGGUCCACAUGGCCAAGGUAAAGACAGGAGCUUCAGGAAGAGCCUUCAGGUGUGACCAGACCUGAGGUGGAGGCCAUGGCCAGGCUGCUCACAGGGAGACCUGUUUUGGACGGAGAAUAACUGUUAAGUUGUUUGUUUUUCAGUGAACUGCCUCACCCAAGAAUGUUCCAGUCAUGUCUUAAAAGGCUUAGCCCCUCCAGAGAGGGUCUGGUUUCCCUGAGUCAGUGAUUUUGUCGCCUUCUGUCUAAGAAUCCUGCCAGUUUGUCUCCAAAAGAGUGUUUGCCCUUAGGGUGGAUGGUGGCUCAGCUGGCUCUGGCCUGAGACUCAGUCCUCUUAGGCUUUGGUUCAGUAACUUUCCAAUUCCCUCCCACAGCACUGGGACCACAGAUGGGCAUUUGGCUUAAACCUGACACUAACCCCAUUGGCUCCAUCACCAGAGCUGUCCGCACACAACAGGUAUCCAUGCACGUUGCCAUCCAAUAGCUCUUAUCUUGGGGUGGCUUGGCUGUCAACCAGACCAGGGGAGCUGAUUUCUGCAGGCCUCAUCUCAGAAGCAAAGAACAGCAUCUGGCUUUGCUCCAGUGUUUUCCAAAGACUCCAAGUUCCAGUGGAGAAGAUUGGGCAUGGCAGUGAAAGAGCUCAAACAGGUGAAGGGCCAGGAGGUAAGGCAGGAUGUAUAUAAAGUUCCUGGACAAACGAUAAUUAGUAAUACAAAUAAGAACAAGCACAGCAACAGACAUGGCAAUGGCAGCUUAGAGAGGUUCAGCUACUUGGGUCACCCCUUGUCGGCUGGGGGAGCUGAACCUUGGAUGCAGGGGUAUUUGUCUCCACUGUCUGAACUCUUCCUAACUGUUUGGAAUGACAGAAUGAGGAAAUGCACCCAAGGAAGAAGAGAGUGUGAGGGAUGUCUUUCUCACUGUGUUCAUAUCAUUGUCUGAUGAUUAGAAUGACUGACAUGAUAAAUACAGGUAAUUGCAAUCUUUUUCUUAUGCACAUUUCACAACAUUCGGCCCUACACAACAGAAUUAAUCUUGCACUCAUGACUGCCAAGAGAAUAUCCUUGUA